AUUGAACGCUGGCGGCAGGCCUAACACAUGCAAGUCGAACGGUAACAGGAAGAAGCUUGCUUCUUUGCUGACGAGUGGCGGACGGGUGAGUAAUGUCUGGGAAACUGCCUGAUGGAGGGGGAUAACUACUGGAAACGGUAGCUAAUACCGCAUAACGUCGCAAGACCAAAGAGGGGGACCUUCGGGCCUCUUGCCAUCGGAUGUGCCCAGAUGGGAUUAGCUAGUAGGUGGGGUAACGGCUCACCUAGGCGACGAUCCCUAGCUGGUCUGAGAGGAUGACCAGCCACACUGGAACUGAGACACGGUCCAGACUCCUACGGGAGGCAGCAGUGGGGAAUAUUGCACAAUGGGCGCAAGCCUGAUGCAGCCAUGCCGCGUGUAUGAAGAAGGCCUUCGGGUUGUAAAGAACUUUCAGCGGGGAGGAAGGGAGUAAAGUUAAUACCUUUGCUCAUUGACGUUACCCGCAGAAGAAGCACCGGCUAACUCCGUG
rnacentral:rRNA from 1 species